UGAUGCACCCUAUUUCCUUCAUAGUGCACUGCUCUGGUCAAAAGCAGUGCACUGUAAAGGGAAUAUGGUGCUAUUA
rnacentral:pre_miRNA from 1 species